rnacentral:rRNA from 1 species
CAGUCGCCGCGGGAAUACGAAGGGGGCUAGCGUUGUUCGGAAUCACUGGGCGUAAAGCGCACGUAGGCGGACCUUUAAGUCAGGGGUGAAAGCCUGGAGCUCAACUCCAGAACUGCCUUUGAUACUGGAGGUCUGGAGUGUGGGAGAGGUUGGUGGAACUGCGAGUGUAGAGGUGAAAUUCGUAGAUAUUCGCAAGAACACCAGUGACGAAGGCGGCUCACUGGUCCGAUACUGACGCUGAGGCACGAAAGCGUGGGGAGCAAACAGGAUUAGAUACCCGAGUAGUCCCUGUCUCUUAUAA